CGGAGUGCUUAAUGCGUUAGCUGCAUGCACUAAGGGGCGGAAACCCCCUAACACUUAGCACUUCAUCGUUUACGGCGUGGACUACCAGGGUAUCUAAUCCUGUUUGAUCCCCACGCUUUCGCACAUCAGCGUCAGUUACAGACCAGAAAGUCGCCUUCGCCACUGGUGUUCCUCCAUAUCUCUGCGCAUUUCACCGCUACACAUGGAAUUCCACUUUCCUCUUCUGCACUCAAGUUUUCCAGUUUCCAAUGACCCUCCACGGUUGAGCCGUGGGCUUUCACAUCAGACUUAAAAAACCGCCUACGCGCGCUUUACGCCCAAUAAUUCCGGAUAACGCUUGCCACCUACGUAUUACCGCGGCUGCUGGCACGUAGUUAGCCGUGGCUUUCUAGAUCAGGUACCGUCAAGAUGUGCACAGUUACUUACACAUUUGUUCUUCCCUGAAUAACAGAGUUUUACGAUCCGAAGACCUUCAUCACUCACGCGGCGUUGCUCCGUCAGGCUUUCGCCCAUUGCGGAAGAUUCCCUACUGCUGCCUCCCGUAGGAGUCUGGACCGUGUCUCAGUUCCAGUGUGGCCGAUCACCCUCUCAGGUCGGCUACGUAUCGUUGCCUGGGUAAGCCGUUACCCUAACCAACUAGCCUAAUACGGGCGCGGAAUCCCAUCUUAUAAAGUGACCAGCAAAAGCCCGCCCUUUCCACUUAUUAGAACCCAUGGCGGGGUUCAANAUUGUUUAUUUCCGGUUAUUAAGCUCCCGGGUUUCCCCGGAAGUUUAUCCCAGGCUCUUAAUAGGGUAGGGGUAAUCCACGUUGUUUACCUCACCCCGGUCCGCGCGCA
rnacentral:rRNA from 1 species